UUAUCAGGGACAUAAGAACACGACGGUGGUUGGAAC
rnacentral:sRNA from 1 species